AUCCAAACAUUUCUCUUUGCAGCCUCCUCCUUCUGUGCUUCAAGAAUGAGAAGAUCUUAGAAACUCCAUAGCUGAUACUGAUCUUGAACUGAGUGGCUGUGAAUUUCUAAAGCUGUUUUGUUUUUCCUGAUUCAUGCCAAAUUUCCACAGUAAGGCAGACACCGCGGGCCUCUGUGGCUGCUUCGUCUCGCUGCGUGUCCUGAUUGCUUACGUACUCUUGAGUGUAAUUUUUGGAGGACACUUAUAGUUUAUUGAGGAGAAGAAGUCAAGAAAAAAGGAAAAUUAUAAGUGAGUGAUUUAGAAAGAUAUCUGACAAUCAUUGAAAAUAGCAAGAUUUAUCCACACCAAUUCCUUAUCCCAAAGCCCAAUGUGAAUUUCUGAAAGGUAUCUUAAUUCAGCAUUUUAAAAUGUUUAAAUGCAUUACAAGACCAAAAAUGAAACAAGUUAAAAUUAGAAAGAACUUUCAGUUGUGGAAAGAUGGGAAAAUGCUCACUGCUUAUACGUUAGGAUUGGCUGUUGGCUCCGACUCAAUCGGAUGUUGAGCUGAGUAAUAGCCAUCAAGGGUCCUGGUUUAUCAACCUGAGCUUGGAAAUACUGUAGCACAAUGCUUCUCUAGGUUUGGCAGUGGAUCAUAGGCAUAAAAAUCACUCAGAGCGCCUGUUGAAAAAUAAAGAGCACAGAUUUUGCGUCUGGACUAGGUAGUCAAAAUCACUAAGGACAGAUCCCCAAAUAUUACAGUAUCAAGAGGCUCAGUGAGGUAAUUCUUAUGCACGCUACAGUUUUGCAAGCACAGCUAUAGCUUUUUUGUGUGUUUGUUUUUAUUCGUUUUCUCUAGGGUUUACUGAGUGUGAAUUCUAUAUGGAGCUGAGAUCUGUGAAUCAGCAACUAAGAGAAUCAAGCCUUUUGCAUUUGAUAAGAAUGGACAUGGUUUUCCUGAAGGUAUUCAAUCCACAUUGGAUGUUCUAGAUCAGUUCUCACAUAAGGCAGCCGUCAAACCCUGGCUUCCAGCCCCAGGAGGAGCUCAUUCUUCUGGACCUGGCUUCACUGCAACGGGCAGUAUGAGAAGGUGCUAUCCCAGGAGUAUUGCACCAUUUGCCUCACAUGUAUUCUCUCUUCUGACUAUCAAACAAUUCAUGAUAGAGAUCACUGUUAAAUUUCACUAGCUUGUUUCCCUUCUAUAUUAAUAGGGAGUAGAAAUAAUAAAAUGUUAACUAAGAU
rnacentral:lncRNA from 1 species